UAAUACGUAGGUGGCAAGCGUUGUUCGGAAUUAUUGGGCGUAAAGCGCGCGCAGGCGGUCCUUUAAGUCUGAUGUGAAAGCCCACGGCUCAACCGUGGAGGGUCAUUGGAAACUGGGGGACUUGAGUGCAGGAGAGGAAAGCGGAAUUCCACGUGUAGCGGUGAAAUGCGUAGAGAUGUGGAGGAACACCAGUGGCGAAGGCGGCUUUCUGGUCUGUAACUGACGCUGAGGCGCGAAAGCGUGGGGAGCAAACAG
rnacentral:rRNA from 1 species